CAGCAGCCGCGGUAAUACGUAUGUCACAAGCGUUAUCCGGAUUUAUUGGGCGUAAAGCGCGUCUAGGUGGUUAUGUAAGUCUGAUGUGAAAAUGCAGGGCUCAACUCUGUAUUGCGUUGGAAACUGUGUAACUAGAGUACUGGAGAGGUAAGCGGAACUACAAGUGUAGAGGUGAAGUUCGUAGAUAUUUGUAGGAAUGCCGAUGGGGAAGCCAGCUUACUGGACAGAUACUGACGCUAAAGCGCGAAAGCGUGGGUAGCAAACAGGAUUAGAUACCCGAGUAGUCCCUGUCUCUUAUACA
rnacentral:rRNA from 1 species